AGGGGAUCCUCGGAAGAGUGGCAGACGGGUGAGUAACGCGUGGGAAUCUACCCAGUACUACGGAACAACAGUUAGAAAUGACUGCUAAUACCGUAUACGCCCUCCGGGGGAAAGAUUUAUCGGUAUUGGAUGAGCCCGCGUUUGAUUAGCUAGUUGGUGAGGUAAUGGCUCACCAAGGCGACGAUCAAUAGCUGGUCUGAGAGGACGAUCAGCCACACUGGGACUGAGACACGGCCCAGACUCCUACGGGAGGCAGCAGUGGGGAAUAUUGGACAAUGGGCGCAAGCCUGAUCCAGCCAUGCCGCGUGUGUGAUGAAGGCCCUAGGGUUGUAAAGCACUUUCAACGGUGAAGAUAAUGACGGUAACCGUAGAAGAAGCUCCGGCUAACUUCGUGCCAGCAGCCGCGGUAAUACGAAGGGAGCUAGCGUUGUUCGGAAUUACUGGGCGUAAAGCGCGCGUAGGCGGGCUAUUAAGUUAGGGGUGAAAUCCCGGGGCUCAACCCCGGAACUGCCCUUGAUACUGGUAGUCUAGAGUUCGAGAGAGGUGAGUGGAAUUCCGAGUGUAGAGGUGAAAUUCGUAGAUAUUCGGAGGAACACCAGUGGCGAAGGCGGCUCACUGGCUCGAUACUGACGCUGAGGUGCGAAAGCGUG
rnacentral:rRNA from 1 species